rnacentral:lncRNA from 1 species
GCAGAAGGCCAUGAAAUGAUCUGUAACUUUGUCUGUCUAUCACCAAUUCUACCAGAGAGAGCUUUGUAGUUCAUAUGCUGUUCCACAGUGGCCAUUUGGCCCUGUAUACACUUGCAUGUCAGUGCUUUUCUCCUGUUAAUUUAUUAGAAUAAGUAAUUGAGUAGAAUUUACUAGAAUUUAUAGUCAUGCUAUUGGUAACGGCUCAGUCGAUCCUUGUUUGAACUCACCAUCUUUUGGAAAUAUAUUUUGUGUGGGGUGAGUUUGUGUAAGAAUGCAAAUGUUCAUCUCCUGCAAUGUCUCAUCCACUGAAUUCAGCAAAGGUUUCAAAGUGUCAGCUCUGGCUCUGGUGCCCUCCCUUCUCCCCGAGCUCUUGCUCUCUGUUUAUCACCGCUGUUGCUCCACAGCACGGUCCCCAUUCUGUCAGAGGAUUUUUGAACUAUGAUAGUCAAUAGCGAUCAAAUGAAGUCAAGCUGUCACUGCACACUGUCUCUUUGCUGUGUGUGUGUAUACACUGUAUCUCACUGUAGGUGUACACUGCUAACCACUUAGCUUGAAUGUUGCAUAUCCCUACACUCACACACAGGUAAAUAUUGUACACAAUCAGCUUCACGGCCUCUAAGGUGCUCAAACUGAGUCCUUAUAAACUAGCUGCAAUGCUAGCUUGAGUUUGAGCUAAAUUGAGCUAGCAAAUAAAUGACCAUAAAUGUCUGUUAUUAGAUGUUAUUUGCGUGGUGUUGUCACUCAACAAGCUUCUUUGGUUAAUGCUUGGCAUAUCACAGUUUUAUGUAGAUACCAUCGAUAGCAGUUUUGGCACUCGUACGUGUUUAAGCGGGCAGUUGUGUCCUUUCCUAUGAAAGUCAUCACAUUCCACAUGGAACUGAGAGUAGGCAGUAUGCACAUCUGGGCUGCACACUGAACAUUUUGUAUAUCUGAUUGCACUUUGAAAAGCCCAGAGCAACCAUUUUGUUUUUAAUCACUGGUUGAUUUGAUCAAACUUUUUUUUUUGCCACGGAACCUGAUUUAUUUAUUUUUUUGCUCUCUUUUGAUACUUUUGAAAACAAAUAUCUAUUUGUAGUUAUUGUAACAUAAAAGGCUAAUAUCCUGGGCCGUUCAAGUCCUUUGUCCUAUAGUUUUCCCUCACAGCCAUGAGAUAUGAGAAAUUUGUUAGUUACAUGCACAGUAUCUUCAGUUUCCAUCGAAACAAAACAUCAAGGCAACUUGUUGAAACAAAAUGUAAUUGUCAUUGAGAAGCACUGUGUCUCGGAACCCAUUUCAUCAUGUUUGAAUCAUUUGCACAGCACUUUAAAAAAAAAAAAAAAAAAAAUCACAACAGCCGCACAGGUUUUGAUAACAUACAGGCAUUUUUCAAACUGUAGUCUUUCCAAUUCAGAGGAAGAUCCUCUGACUAUCCUUUUGUCUUUCUCUCUGUAGGAGGCUUCCAGUCUGGGGCAUGAUUUAAUUAUAUGGAUAUAAGAUCUGUUGGAGUGAGGUAAAAUUGCAUUAGCCCUAACACCGUGACCCCACCUAGUCUUGGCUUGGGCAAAGAUGUGCUGGGCAGUAGCCUGGAAAUGUGUUUGUAUUUAACAUAUGGGGCCCUGAAGGUAGACUUUAAAUGGCCAAAUUUGUAGUGUGAGCACAGGCUUAAGCAUGUCAGAGUCUCACCACUGAAAGGCCAAUGGGUUGUAGUCCACCGUUUGGCCAACUUUGCCCAGGAGGUUCUAACAUGGUGGCUGAGGAAUAGUGUGAUGUUAUCUUUAUUCAUUGCUGGAGAGUUAAACGGUACAUCUAGAAAGGAGUAGUGUUCAGGCUCCUAACCGUAGCCGCGCUAAUAAGGGUUGCGUUCAAUAUUUUAAAAAAGUGUUAAAGUGGAGCAUUUUUGGAGGGUGAAAGGAGAAUGACAGCGUCUUAGCAUUGUUCUGUGGAAAAGGAUGGCUGUCAAUGUGUCGGUUUGAUAAGGACACAAGUGUUUUUUUGUCUCACGUGUCUGUGCAUGACAGAUAAUUACUGCGAGAGGUGAGAUGUCUUUGGCUAGCAACAUUGUGAGUUCUGUUCAUGACAGGAAGGUUUAGUGGAGAUCAAAUCAAGAUGUAUCAUAAUUGCUAUCUAACAUAUUUUAGAAAACAAACCGUGUACAUUCUCCCGUUUCUGUAUCUUUGACAGAUUUUCUAGUUUCCUAUUUCUAUGUUCUCACUGUUUCUUUCUGACUUUAAUUUGAGAUUCUGGGGUUGUGUAUAUUACAGGUGCCUGUGAUCGAUAUUCAACAGUUUCUUCUUCCUAUGAGCAUUUCCUUUUGUAAAUAGCACAGAAAGCACUCUGCAAAGAUCAGCAACGAUGUCCCAUAUCACUGAAUAAUCCAAACCAAAAUUAGAUGCUGUGUCUUUGUUACCCUCUGUUUUGCUGGCCUCCCCUAAACCCAUAGCUUAAUUAAAACCUCUUUUGUAGAUAUCAAAAUGUAAAUACAGUAUAACCUUGUGUAAAUGAGUUUGUUCCCAGACACUAUCAGGCAGAUGCACUGCCGCCUGUCGUUAGCGUAUGUGAUUGUUUCCCCAGGAAUGGCAAAGGGCUCUCCCCUCGCUGUGAAUGUGUUCAAUUGUUGGGGUGCCCUCCCUUUUCCUAUCCCUUGGCCCUGACUGAAUCCCUCUCUCUAGUCCACUCUCCUUUUCCUCCCAUGAGAACCCAUCCCACUCUUUCGCUGUUGUGUGUUGUACAGACAAAUCUGAGCUGUGAAUAAAAAGAGACAAAGAAAUCAAUGGGUUGUGAGUAUCCCAUUGGCUGUCAUUGAUUCACCGCCUCAGUCAUAAUUGAAGGUCAGAGUUGUACGUUGUGUGUGGGGGAAAUGCAAAACAAGACCAGUACUCUGAAAUGUGUUUAAACUGCAUAAUGCUAUGAAGUCUAUGCUAAAUAUAUUACACUAAUGCUGACUUGUUGAAUUUGUUAACACAAUGAACGUGCAAAUAAAUAAAAAAAACUGAUACAC